UCUGAUUUCUGAUUCGGCAUAUGUUGU
rnacentral:piRNA from 1 species